rnacentral:rRNA from 1 species
GACGAACGCUGGCGGCGUGCCUAAUACAUGCAAGUCGAGCGAAGUUUUCUGGUGCUUGCACUAGAAAAACUUAGCGGCGAACGGGUGAGUAACACGUAAAGAACCUGCCUCAUAGACUGGGACAACUAUUGGAAACGAUAGCUAAUACCGGAUAACAGUAUUUCUCGCAUGAGAGAUAUUUAAAAGUUGGUUAUGCUAACACUAUGAGAUGGCUUUGCGGUGCAUUAGCUAGUUGGUGGGGUAAAGGCCCACCAAGGCGACGAUGCAUAGCCGACCUGAGAGGGUGAUCGGCCACACAGGGACUGAGACACGGCCCAGACUCCUACGGGAGGCAGCAGUAGGGAAUCUUCCGCAAUGGGCGAAAGCCUGACGGAGCAACGCCGCGUGAGUGAAGAAGGAUUUCGGUUCGUAAAGCUCUGUUGUUAGGGAAGAAUGGAUAUGUAGUAACUAUACAUGUAAGAGACGGUACCUAACCAGAAAGCCACGGCUAACUACGUG